rnacentral:lncRNA from 1 species
GAAUUCGUCCUCGAAUUCACCAGUUAAUAGAACAUUUUUCAACCCAAUCAGAACAGUCUCCCCCACCUGGAAUGAAUCCCAACACACGACACUCAUGCCUUAACUCAAUUCUCAGGCUUUCGGUCACUCGACCAUUACUGUGUUCCAGACUUCCUGAUCACAAUCACACUUGGUUUUGAUCUCAGAUAUUAAUUAUUUUUUUAACAGACUCGGUUCAUUGCACCAACUCACUAAGCAUAGUAGUUCUUACUUCUAAGCAAUCUCUUGGUGUUUGGACACACACUUUGGUGAGAACGCUAGACUCCCAGUGCUGACCAGUUUACCUCAAUUCUCGAAGUGUUAACUCACCAUCUUAGUUAAGUUUUUCUAGCUAAAACCUUAACCGAUCAUAGUCACUUAUUGACUCAAUGUUAGUCCUUCCGGAACUCAGUUCCAACCAGUCUCAGUCCAAUCCUGACUUGAUUUUUGAUUCUCGCACUC